GCAUGCGCAGUUUCUCUCAAGUUUCGUAUUGACUGAGUCAGCUGCACAAGUUUUCCCAGUUUUCAAGUUUUUCAAUUGUACUUAGUCCGUCAGACAGAACUUGGAAGUAUUUGGGUGAUAUUUUAAGAGUAGGGGAGUGGAGCGUGAAACUGCUAUGGGUUUGUGAAACGUUACAGUGAUAUGAAAACGUAUCCGUCAUGGAAAAACGUAGUUUUGUCCAUAAUCACGAUUAUAUUAUGGACCAGGGUGGAUGGCGGACGAAGGUUAGGGCGGAAAACACAAUUUUCCUCCGCCCCUAGACAGGGUUUGUUAAGCCCCAAAUCGCUGCCCCUGAAAGGAGAUGGAGUACUUGGCAACGCAGGCCAGGAGAUACCCGGAGAGGAUGCAGAAUUUGUUGCAGGAUCUUUUAUUUUGACGCAACGAGCUCUUGAUGAAGCUCCAUACAGAUACAGCUCAUUCUUAACUCAGGCUCUGGAGGCUAUGGAGAUGAAAGAACCUCCGACGAAAUCUGACGAAGAGAAUUGUAAUGUUAGAUAUAGAAUAGAACCGUCAGGAAGGAGAAGCACAAUCAACAUCCUGGAUAAUAGUUUAGAAGUUAAACUACUGAGAAACAAUACUGUAACUAUAUCUGCUAGCUUAGAUGUUGCUGUCCCUGCUCGAACAUGGAUCUGGAAAGGAAUCAAUUUUGGUUUCCUGGGUUGCAUGAAGAUCUCCAGCUGUGGGGGUCAGAUCGUGACCUACGGGGCACAUAUAGCCAUGAAGGUCGCCUUCCAGGUUCUCUGGGACGAGGAGAAGAAGAAGAUCGGGGUGUUUAUUAAACCUGUAGAAACAAAUCUUUCAUCGGUCAACGUCGUGGGAUGCAAACCUCCCUGGUAUCUAUGGUGGUUUAAAGCGUGGCAAGAGAUGUUGAAUACAGGGGUACAGACGGCCUUUCAGGAUUUCGCUGACAGUUACUCCCACAGUCUCACCAUCCCCACCGAGAUGACAGUUCACAAGAACAUGUUCAUUUCGUACAAGGUGACCAACUUGAUCUGGUCCGAGGACUUCGUGGCAUUCGAGGCCACCUCCACCUUCAAGGCGCUGGUUGGGAGCAAGAAUAUCACAUUUAUUCCGGAGCAUCAGAACCAAACCUAUAAUGGUCGGAGUUCUAUACCUAUAGGACAAUGGCCCCAGAGCUCUAUGUCGGAUCAUCAAUCCCAUCUUCUGCAAGGGGUCAGGCUCUCCGGGUACUUCCUAAACUCCAUCAUGUGGUACGCCAGUAUAACCAACGUCACGGAGUACAAUGGAAACACAACCGUCCUGGAUUCCAUGAUCAACGGAACUAUCAGCUAUACCCCUCCCAUUCUACGUGUGGGUGAGGCGGGGGUUCUUAAUAUAACAAUCCCCCAGGGUAAACUCCUGGCUGUGUGUAGACCAGUAUCUGAGCUGAAUGCGACUACUGUAGUUCUAUUUAAAGCGGAGUUCACUGAUUUAGCGGGAAGUGGGAGUGUAAAACUUGCGGCGGGAAACAAGACAGGAAUUAUAAUUGAGAUUCAACAACUCGAUCUCUCCAAUAUGAAAACCAAACCAUUUGAACCAAAAUUGCCUCUCCCGGAUACAUUUGAGAGUGAGCUCAUGAAGACGGGAAUAGCCCAAUUGAGACCUAUUAUUAACCAGUAUCUUCAAGAUAAACCGAUAUAUCUCCCGGCACAGAUAUCCCCUCUUGUAGCCUACCCAGAGGUGUUUUUAAACCAAACCUCAGGAGGACUAGGAUACGCUCAGAUCCUAUCCUAUUGUACCUGUUCAGAUUUCCAAGCUCCGGGUGCAUUCUCCAAGUGUGAUGAAAGAUCCGGAUUAUGCAAACCUAAAGUAUAUAACCGGAGGAAAAGAGACUCAAUCCAGCCCGGCGGGGUUUCAAACCAAAAUUUAAACUUCAAAGACGGAACUUCAAUAUUGAACUCAACAGAUACAAGCGAGAAGCUUCCAGAGUUUGCAACUUUUCUUAAUAAAAGCUCAACAUUUCAUAAAGUAAUAGAUGUUGCAAACAACUUCAUUGAGAACCAUUUUUUUGCCAACAAAACUAAGGAGGAGGAGCAGGCAGGGAUGAUAAUAUCAAGAAACAAUCCGGUUCUGAUCGAUACAAAACCUGUUUACUUUGUUCAGUAUGAAACUAGUUUUAACUGCUCAAUGCAUAGACCGGGAGACAAUGCCAAAACCUACAAACUUACUCCGAAACCUUACUGUUCUCCUAUAACAGUUGGACAUACCGACUCGGAGUCUAAUCAAUUCUAUGUGUUUAAACCUGAUGGUUCAAGGGUUCUCUUCGGAUGUUUUGACAAGUUCUGUAAGACAUGUACAUUUGACGUGGACAUCAGGAUAAAGGACGCCUGCAUAUCCUUGCCGAACCAUGGACAAUCCUUUAUAGUCUCGGAUAACCCAGCAAGCGUUCAAAACUCGUUCUCGGAAAAUAACGGAACUGCUUCGGUCACCAUUUUCUUUGACGUGGAGAAACCCUGCGAGUUUGAAGGUGUCACUAUGGAGAAGGAAACGUCUGAGGCGAGGAUGGUUUCCUCCACGUUUGAGCUCGGGUUUGAGAACAGAGGGUGUAUCGGAAUGGCAUCCGGUGGUAAUCUGCUACUGGAGAGACUAGGAUCCAACAGCUCUGUAAGUCGGGUUAAACUAGAAUGUAACGCGGACUGUAAUUAUUGUGGUUUAGAUAUUCUAGGAAUACAAUUCGGAGAGUGUCAAAUAUUUCGUAAAUCCAGCAGGGUUCUCCUCACCAAGUCGGAGAUCCUGAUUCCCAGCUAUAUCCUGGAGAAGCAGGAGGAAGAGGAGAUGGUUUUCACCGUGGUUUUAGCAGCUAGUCUCUCCCUAGCUUUAGUAUUCACUAUCCUGGGAGUAGUGGCAACAAUCUGGUGUUGUAAGACCAGUAAAAGCGGAGAAAUGAGGAUAAACAAAUAUAAAACUAAGAUAAAGGAUAAUAUUCUCAGGUUCUCUGGUUGGUGGAGAAAAACUGUCCUUUCAUUCUGCAGUCAGCAUAUUGGAGUAAGGUUUCUAGAGUGGAGAGAUGAGGAGAGAAAGAAUAUAUUUGAAGAUAUGGUUCAAAAUGCUCUUCUGCUUAUUAAUGGUACUUGUGCAGUGAUGUUUGCUUUCGAAUGGAACUCUCCAAAUAAUCCUUUAUUUCUGUUCACAACAAAAUUGAGUUCUAAUGUUGGGAUUGGAUCCCAGGUUCUGGAAAUGUCGGAUGUUCUCCACUUUGCAACUCGUCUCAACUUCUGGACCUAUGUGUGCAACAUGGUAAACGGAGCCAUUGCUUUCUUUAUCAUUGUCGUCUGGUGUAUAACAAAAUGUGGAACAAGAGAAAGAUGGACGAAGAUUCGCCUCCUCUCCUCAACAAUGAUGCUAACAAGCAUCCUUCUAACCAUUGCUUGUCUCAUCUUCACAACCUACUUUGAUGACCUCGUGACGCUGAAGUCCAACAGUGGAUACUUCAUCACGGACAACAUCAAGAUGAGGAAGAUCACCCAGGCUAUAAUUCAGGUCACGCUCAACGGUCUCUCCCUGACCGUUAUCAGUUUCACCAUCGUGUUCCUCUUCCACGGGGUUGGCGGAGGGUUGUUCUCCGGGACCGUUCUCUUUAGAAUCCUUCAUUUAUAUUCUAAGAAGGAGAAUCUUGAGAUUCUUACAACUCUCCUGGUUAUUCUUACAAUAAUCCAACCAUUUAUCUGCCUCCACCCAGUCAUAAUCUGGUCCCAAGACUCAAAUCAUAACGCCAAGUAUCUUAUUCUAACAAUCUUUGUUUGGUUUCUCCCCCUUGGAGUUCAUCUUUUUAUCAAAGCUAUACUAAAUCAGAUAAAUAAUCGGUACAUACAAAGAUCUCCUAGUCCCACCCAACACAGCCCGGCUGAGUUGACACCUUUAAAUGUGAGACCACCAGGGAAGAAAGCUGAACUUAAGUCAAGUAAAUCAGUUCCAGCUAAUAGAAAAGAAGGAACUGUCUCUACGACCAACAGCAAGGUUUCUAGUAAGGUUAUAACUGCUGUUGAUGUUGGGAUGCAGAUAACACAACUUCUUCUUUUCCUCUCCGCUUUCUCCUUUAUCACCCAUUACAUCAUCAACACGGAGCUAGACUCACAAAAAUCCAACCUGAAAAGUUUCGUCCUCCCUGCUAUUAUAUCAGUGUUCUUCUGGAUGAUGAGUAUCUCCUACUACCUACUGGACCUCACCAUGAACGCCACCAAGGACUCCACCCCCUUGGUGUUCAAGGAUAAGGUAUCGAGAGCUAGAGAAGAAUUGCACUCCUCCCUGAAACGUCGACUGGCAGGGAUGGAUAAGCGUAAUACGGUCGGAGUAACGGCCCGUGUAGUAACCAGACCUAAAGUCCCUCCUCCACCUCCUCCUCCGAAACCGGAGUUUAAACGAACCCAGUGGAAAUCUAAAAGUCUACCCCCAGUGAAAAUGAAAUCCAGAGAAACCAAUAAUUCUGAAGAAAAAGUUAUAAAAAUAAAAGAGUUCAAUGACACCAACAUUGACGUGGAUAGAACGGAAAGCACUAAAUGUGUUCUGUCCGCGGAGAAAAUGUUGGAACCUAUGGAAAUCCAAGAAGCGGAUUAUCAAGUAGAGAAUCCUAAUCGUUGUUCCAAGAUCCUUAACUAUAUAUUAGAACGACAGGAAUAUGCAUUUCCCGAAACCCAUGGUUGGAGAAUAAAAUUUCGAAGAAUAUUCCUUCAUCUGGGAGUACUGGGGUUCAGCUAUACAACCUUUCAGACGGUAGCAUCCACAGAGAACUAUUCUUCAAAGCAAGAGAUUCAGAAGAUAUUAGAUUUUGUUGGAACCAACCUAACCUGGCCUGACGAAGGUAGUGCACUAGACGAUGUUUUCAAGCUCUACAAUCAAACCCAACAAAGGAAGAGCUAUGUCAUGAUCGCUGCCUCCUUCCUAUUCUGGAGUAGUUUAGUCCUGGAUACGAUCAGCUACUGGACCUCGAAGAAGAACCUGAAGGAUAUCUGUGUAGUGUCUAGCAGGGUUGUUAACUUCCUGGGCUCCUUACUGGUGUUUGCCUCUGUUAUCCUAGUAGGUUUACCAGACUACCUGGAGGCAAGCCAUCUUGAUGAGAUCUGUCCCUACUGUGGGAAGGAUUUUAACAGAACAGUCAAAUAUGUUGCGGAGUUUUCUAUCGGACUCUUCUUCGCCUGUCUCUUUACUUUUCAACUCCUUCCUGUUUUAAUGACGAUUGCUCCGGCAUUGGUGAGAGCAUCCGUCCUGAUUCUAAUCCAUCCUGGACUCAGGGGUCAGGAUAAGACGACCGUUCUCAGGAUGUCGAUUUUACAGAAAGUAAUUGUUGUCUCUUCAUUAUUAAGCUUUCCAAUUACAUUUGUGAGUAUGUGUAUUGUGAACCAGCACCAACAAGAUAUUGUAGUUACAGUUCUCAUCAUCUUAUACUGGACCCUGCCUCCUCUCACCCUGUACAUAGGUUUACAUUACUCCAGGACCUACCAAAAGUACAGUAUUCUUCUCUUCGUCUACUACAUGUACAACUGUGUGUAUGUCGGCCUGGUGAUGGCGCUCCUCCUCUACUCCUUCCAGUUAGAUCAGUUCCUGGAGAUUCUCCGGAACCUGAUCCAGUCCCCGACCGUCUGGUUCGGAACCAUGGCGCAGGUUUUCCUUUGCAACGUCGUCAUCUCCGAUCUACUCUACAUGACGGUAUUCUAAGUCUUACAAAUGAAACUUUUCGAUCUGAAAACAAUUUCUGAACUUGGUGUAAGAAUGUACAGUGUACACAGAGAUAUUUAUUACUUAUUAUGAAUGGGCAACGUUUUGAGGUCUUUUAAUAAGUUCGCUUUUUCGAAACGAUUUUACUAAUCGUUAUAAAAAAAUCUUUCGAUUAAUAUUUUUGCAUAACAUAACUUGUCUAGCAUGCAAUUUUGAAAAAGGAUUUACAUCUCAGAUUCUUGUAGACCCCUCUUAAAAGUCUAUAAACUUUCAUACUUAAAAAAGGACCUCGAAAUGAUGCCCGCCAUUAUUUCUUAGAAAAUCUAAGUUUUAGUCUUAGUUGUAGCGUUCUAUGUGAUAAAAGAGGAGACAAAAUCUGAAAAUUAUAUUAGUGCUAAAUUCUUUCAAACUUGUGAUAACAUUUUCUAGUGCUUAGUAAAUUCGGAAUAAUUGAUUUGACAUUAUUGAGCAAUAAUUAGACUCAAUCACACCGUACAGGUAAAAUGAAAAUAAUUCCAUGUUUAUUGGGUCACCCUUUAUAAGACCUGGUAAAAUGAAUAUAAUUCCAUGUUUAUAUUGACACCCUGUAGACCUGCUAAAAUGAAUAUAUUUCCAUGUUUAUUUUGACACUCUGUAGACCUGGUAAAAUGAAUAUUAAUGAGAUCUAAUUAGUUUAAACCAGGCACGAGGAUAAAUUUGAAUAAGUUGAGCGCUGUAUUUAACUCAAUCUAGUUCAUCAUGUUUAGAAUAUAUAGAGAUAAACCUCAGGAACCAAGUGAUUACUCGCGUCAAACUCUGAUUAUUUAGUUCCUAUAUUUUUCCAACAUGAUGGUGUUAACAAUAGGCUAAUAUUCAUGUUUUAAAGUCUACAGGGUCUUUUGCAAAGAUGUAAACAUUAGAAAAUAAGAUUUUGAGACGAGUAAUCAGUUCAUUUGGGGUACGUAUGUUUUUUACUUAUCACACAAUUUACUGAUUUUUAGAUAAAAAACUGCGAAAAAUUUCAUUGUUUCUUAAACCGUAAUUUAUACCUUUUAUUGUGUUAUUAUUUCGCUUUUCAUAACAUUUUCCAGAUCUAUUUUUUGUUCCUUAUUCUAGAAGUCUCUGUGAUAGUGAAAAAAUGUAAAAAAAAA
rnacentral:misc_RNA from 1 species